rnacentral:sRNA from 1 species
UCCGUAGGUGAACCUGCGGAAGGAUCAUUCAUAAUCAAGUGUUUUUAUGGCACUUUCAAAAAUCCAUAUCCACCUUGUGUGCAAUGUCAUCUCACUGGAGGUCAACGGCUGUAAAAAUCCGUUGGUCACCUUUGGGAUUUAUAUCUACUCAGAACUUUAGUGAUUUUGUCUAAAACAUAUUAUGAAUACUUAAUUCAAAAUACAACUUUCAACAACGGAUCUCUUGGCUCUCGCAUCGAUGAAGAACGCAGCGAAAUGCGAUACGUAAUGUGAAUUGCAGAAUUCAGUGAAUCAUCGAAUCUUUGAACGCAUAUUGCGCUCUCUGGUAUUCCGGAGAGCAUGCUUGUUUGAGUAUCAGUAAACACCUCAACUCCCCUUUCUUUUUUGAAAUGGGAGCUGGACUUGAGUGAUCCCAACGCUUUUCUCACCGAAAAGUGGCGGGUUACUUGAAAUGCAGGUGCAGCUGGACUUUUCUCUGAGCUAAAAGCAUAUCUAUUUAGUCUGCCUAAAAAACAGAUUAUUACCUUUGCUGCAGCUAACAUAAAGGAGAUUAGUUCUUGUGCUGACUGAUGCAGGAUUCACAGAGACAGCUUCGGCUGGCUUUGUAAACUCGAUCUCAAAUCAAGUAAGACUACCCGCUGAACUUAAGCAUAUCAAUAAGCGGAGGAAAAGAAACUAACAAGGAUUCCCCUAGUAACGGCGAGUGAAGCGGGAUGAGCUCAAAUUUAAAAUCUGGCUGGUUUACUAGUCCGAAUUGUAGUUUAAAGAAGCGUUUUCGGUGGCAGCCUGGGUAUAAAUCCUUUGGAACAGGGUAUCAUAUAGGGUGAGAAUCCCGUCUUUGACUCAGUGCAUGCUACUAUGUGAUACGUUUUCAAAGAGUCGAGUUGUUUGGGAAUGCAGCUCAAAAUGGGUGGUAAAUUUCAUCUAAAGCUAAAUAUUGGCGAGAGACCGAUAGCGAACAAGUACCGUGAGGGAAAGAUGAAAAGAACUUUGAAAAGAGAGUUAAACAGUGCGUGAAAUUGUUGAAAGGGAAACGCUUGAAGU